ACACAAAUAUAAUUAUACUAUUAUAUAAAUCAAAACAUUUAUCCUACUAAAAGUAUUGGAGAAAGAAAUUCGUACAUCUAGGAGCUAUAGAACUAGUACCGCAAGGAAAGAUGAAAGACUAAUUAAAAGUAAGAACAAGCAAAGAUUAAACCUUGUACCUUUUGCAUAAUGAACUAACUAGAAAACUUCUAACUAAAAGAAUUACAGCUAGAAA
rnacentral:rRNA from 1 species